GGAAAGCUACACGUCCCUGCAAGCUGACAUUGGCACCCAUGGAGGAUGACUGGAGACCCUCUGGGUUAAACUACAUGGGAAACAUGGCAUAGGGGACACAAUGGCAGGAGGUCUGUGGUAGACUC